rnacentral:rRNA from 1 species
UACGAAGGGGGCUAGCGUUGCUCGGAAUCACUGGGCGUAAAGCGCACGUAGGCGGAUUGCUAAGUCAGGGGUGAAAUCCUGGAGCUCAACUCCAGAACUGCCUUUGAUACUGGCAACCUUGAGUCCGGGAGAGGUGAGUGGAACUGCGAGUGUAGAGGUGAAAUUCGUAGAUAUUCGCAAGAACACCAGUGGCGAAGGCGGCUCACUGGCCCGAUACUGACGCUGAGGCACGAAAGCCAGGGGAGCAAACGGG